rnacentral:rRNA from 1 species
CCUACGGGAGUCGGCAGUGAGGAAUAUUGGACAAUGGGCGCAAGCCUGAUCCAGCCAUGCCGCGUGCAGGAAGAAGCAUCUAUGGUGUGUAAACUGCUUUUGUACGGGAAGAAACACUGCUACGUGUAGCAGCUUGACGGUACCGUAAGAAUAAGGAUCGGCUAACUCCGUGCCAGCAGCCGCGGUAAUACGGAGGAUCCAAGCGUUAUCCGGAAUCAUUGGGUUUAAAGGGUCCGUAGGCGGUUUGGUAAGUCAGUGGUGAAAGCCCAUCGCUUAACGAUGGAACGGCCAUUGAUACUGCCAGACUUGAAUUACUAGGAAGUAACUAGAAUAUGUAGUGUAGCGGUGAAAUGCUUAGAUAUUACAUGGAAUACCAAUUGCGAAGGCAGGUUACUACUAGUUUAUUGACGCUGAUGGACGAAAGCGUGGGGAGCGAACAGGAUUAGAUACCCUGGUAGUCCACGCCGUAAACGAUGGAUACUAGCUGUUCGGGGUAACCUGAGUGGCUAAGCGAAAGUGAUAAGUAUCCCACCUGGGGAGUACGUUCGCAAGAAUGAAACUCAAAUGAAUUGACGG